rnacentral:rRNA from 1 species
CGGGGGGGCAAGCGUUGUUCGGAAUUACUGGGCGUAAAGGGCUCGUAGGCGGCCAUCUAAGUCGGAUGUGAAAUCCCCAGGCUCAACUUGGGAACUGCAUCCGAUACUGGAUGGCUUGAAUCCGGGAGAGGGAUGCAGAAUUCCAGGUGUAGCGGUGAAAUGCGUAGAUAUCUGGAGGAAUACCGGUGGCGAAGGCGGCAUCCUGGACCGGCAUUGACGCUCAUGAGCGAAAGCUAGGGGAGCAAACGGGAUUAGAUACCCCGGUAGUCCUAGCCCUAAACGAUGAAUGCUUGGUGUGGCGGGUAUCGAUCCCUGCCGUGCCGAAGCUAACGCAUUAAGCAUUCCGCCUGGGGAGUACGGUCGCAAGGCUG